GAGCCAGGACCCAUCCUGCUACGGGCUCACCCUCCAAAUGACCCACUUGCUCCAUCUGUGUGCGUAGGGGAGCUGCCAUUCUGAAACAAGCUCUUCUCAGAUCCCCAUUCUCAGGUGGCUCGAGGUAACACUGGCCUUCCCACCUCCGUGUAAUUGUUCCUCCUCAUGCAAGAUCAUAAACUUCCGCUGAGUAUUUUGACAGAAUCAGCCAGACAGUAGGGAUUACAGAAACCCCUAAAUGACACCCCACGAUCACAUAAAUAAAACCUAAGAGCACCUUUUAAAUAACAGGAGACACUCACUCCUGGGACUGUAGCAUGACAGAACAUGCCCAAGGGUGGGGUGGCGAAACUGGUGAAAGAGAAGGGAUAAGUGACUUUAUGGGAAAGUUGGGACGUCACUAUUUCUUAAGAAAAAAAAAAAUGCAUUACCAGUACUACACUACAAAUAAUGUUACAGGAAUGCUCAGAUAUAACAUGAUGAUUUAACAGACACACUUGGCAACCAGCACCGACACAUUGAGAAGUGUGGAAAUUACAUACAUUAAAUUAACAGUGGUAAAGGAAAACCAGCCAGCACAAAUUAGUGAAAUCAAAGCACUCGAUAGCAAUUAAAACUAACAAAAACUUUUAAAUUUGCCCACAGUUUCUUACCUCAUUCAUCCAGGCACCAACAAUUUGGUUUUGUCUUCGGCACAUCAGUAUCGUUAGAGAACUAUCCAAACUAUAUAGUGUUAAUAUUAGAUAUCGCGCAACCUGUAGGUUGUAUUUCCAAAAAUAAGCAGAAGUCAGCUACCACUUUUCACAGACCAGAAAACACGCCAGUGUCUCUCCAUCGCUCACUUUGUUCGCCGAUCGAUAACAGUUUAGUCAAGCUGUUCCGUAAAAAGCUGUGUGGUACUGUCCAAAGAGCUAGCCAGCUAGCCAACUAACUGUUAGCUAGCUAAGUUGCACACGGUAAUUUAACUUUGUUUGAUAAAUCCAUACGUGUUUCAGAACAACCCUUUUUGUCUUGGCAUAUGAAAUCCACACGACUAUCAAACUGUUUACACUUGAAUAAAGUUCCUUUUCAGUCGUCACCAUUCCGGUUCAGCCUUGAUGGCUGAAGUUUUUGUCCAGUGAAGAGGGUUUUUGUCUCAGCAUUGAUCCAGCAAGCGAAGACGUCAUCAUCUCCUGCUGUCAAUUUCCCACCCCGGACCCUGGCGUUGUCUGGAGGAGCGGUUUGCCACAACAUGCAAUAAAAGUGCGUGACGGAAUCUUCUUCCGACAAUGUUUGGCAAAAGAGUUACAUCACGGAAUGUUUUGACUCUGCUGUUACUCUGCAUUUCAUAUCAAUAGGACACGGGGUGCCUGUGUUUUUAAGAAAUGGCC
ensembl:lncRNA